UUUCCGUAGGUGAACCUGCGGAAGGAUCAUUCAUAAUAAAGUGUCUUAUGGCACUUUUUAAAAAUCCAUAUCCACCUUGUGUGCAAUGUUAGAUCUCGUCAAUCUUGGCGAGAUUUUUAUACAUCAACUCAUUUUUUAACUAAUUUGUCUGAAAAAUAUUAUGAAUACUUAAUUCAAAAUACAACUUUCAACAACGGAUCUCUUGGCUCUCGCAUCGAUAAAGAACGCAGC
rnacentral:misc_RNA from 1 species